rnacentral:rRNA from 1 species
CCUACGGGAGGCAGCAGUGGGGAAUAUUGGGCAAUGGGCGCAAGCCUGACCCAGCAACGCCGCGUGAAGGAAGAAGGCUUUCGGGUUGUAAACUUCUUUUCUCAGGGACGAAGCAAGUGACGGUACCUGAGGAAUAAGCCACGGCUAACUACGUGCCAACAGCCGCGGUAAUACGUAGGUGGCAAGCGUUAUCCGGAUUUACUCGGUGUAAAGGGCGUGUAGGCGGGAUAGCAAGUCAGAUGUGAAAACCAUGGGCUCAACCUGUGGCCUGCAUUUGAAACUGUUUUUCUUGAGUACUGGGGAGGCAGACGGAAUUCCUGGUGUAGCGGUGAAAUGCGUAGAUAUUAGGAAGAACACCAGUGGCGAAGGCGGUCUGCUGGACAGCAACUGACGCUGAGGCGCGAAAGCGUGGGGAGCAAACAGGAUUAGAUACCCUUGUAGUC